UAAAAACCUAAUCAGUUCCUCCCCUCCUCCAGCCGCACUAAUUUUUUUUUCUCUCUUUCUCUCACCUGAGAUUUGCACCACCCUCUCAUCUCUCUCUCUCUCAAACUGGCACCUCCAUCUCCUUCACCUCUGCAGGCGACCACCUCCUCCUGCCGUCUCCUUCUCAUCCUCUUCCUUCUCCUCAUCUUCUCUCUCUAGAUCUGUCGUAUCUCUAACUCUUUAGAUUUAUCUAGUCGAUCUCUCAUCUCUAUGUCCCUCAUCAGUCGUUCCACCACCAUGCCGAAGCCACCUCCGUCGCCACUGCACCUCAAGCGCCGACGAUGACCCCCACAAC
rnacentral:lncRNA from 1 species